rnacentral:lncRNA from 1 species
UUGAAACAGUAUGAUCUCUUUCAUGUUGAUCAUACAAGGUAUGUUGCUAACUUGAGCUUUUCAUAUUUUUGUGAGAAACCAAUGGAGUAUGAAAAGAUAUUAAUCAAUCCCUAACACUUAAUAAUCAACUUGACUAUCUCCCUCUCUUUCCGUAACCAACUCAAAUCACUUUCUUAUAAAACCCCUAACUUAUUAUACUCCAAAACAAAACAUCAUCCAUUACUGUUACCUCUCUGUAGAAACUUGGAAAUCAAAAAAAAUAUGUAAUUAAAAGAAUGUUUCUUUGGCUGGUUAUUGUCUUCAUGAUUUCAGCUUCUGUCUUUUCCCAUGAAUUCAGACUCCAUUGGUUUGUUCCAACAGCAAAUGCUUCUACAAGUCUCACUGAUUGUGUUUCUAAUAAACGGUUUCAAGCCGGAGACACCAGUUGUAUAAGUAUACACCUAAACCCCAAUAAAGUUUUCACUUCAAUUUUUAAAAAAAUCUUUGUGAGUUUUGUUUGUUCUUUUUUUGGUUCUCUGCAGUUAAAAGGAUUAAGUACAAAAAAGAUUCAUUUAUGUAAGAUAAAACUCAUGGAAAGAGAGAUUCAGUGAAUACAAAAAAGAAAGAAAUGCUGCUGGGUUGGGUUGAAG